rnacentral:rRNA from 1 species
UACGAAGGGGGCUAGCGUUGCUCGGAAUCACUGGGCGUAAAGCGCGCGUAGGCGGAUCGCUAAGUCAGGGGUGAAAUCCCAGGGCUCAACCCUGGAACUGCCUUUGAUACUGACGAUCUGGAGAUCGGGAGAGGUUGGUGGAAUUCCGAGUGUAGAGGUGAAAUUCGUAGAUAUUCGGAGGAACACCAGAAGCGAAGGCGGCCAACUGGCCCGAUACUGACGCUGAGGCGCGAAAGCGUGGGGAGCAAACAGG